CGUUCGAACUGAAUCUGAGAGUACUAACCUUCGUUAUUCUGGUUGAUUAUCUUUCGGGGUUUUCUUCUGGUUUAGUGUUGGGAGCGUAUCGGUAGUAGGUUAGCGUG
rnacentral:rRNA from 1 species